rnacentral:rRNA from 1 species
GACGACCUCUGGCGGCGCGCCUAACACAUGCAAGUCGAACGGAGCUGAGAGGAGCUUGCUUUUCUCAGCUUAGUGGCGAACGGGUGAGUAACGCGUGAGUAACCUGCCCUGGAGUGGGGGACAACAGUUGGAAACGACUGCUAAUACCGCAUAAGCCCACGAUCCGGCAUCGGAUUGAGGGAAAAGGAUUUAUUCGCUUCAGGAUGGACUCGCGUCCAAUUAGCUAGUUGGUGAGGUAACGGCCCACCAAGGCGACGAUUGGUAGCCGGACUGAGAGGUUGAACAGCCACGUUGGGACUGAGACACGGCCCAGACUCCUACGGGAGGCAGCAGUGGGGGAUAUUGCACAAUGGGGGAAACCCUGAUGCAGCGACGCCGCGUGGAGGAAGAAGGUUUUCGGAUUGUAAACUCCUGUCGUUAGGGACGAUAAUGACGGUACCUAACAAGAAAGCACCGGCUAACUACGUGCCAGCAGCCGCGGUAAAACGUAGGGUGCAAGCGUUGUCCGGAAUUACUGGGUGUAAAGGGAGCGCAGGCGGACCGGCAAGUUGGAAGUGAAAACUAUGGGCUCAACUCAUAAAUUGCUUUCAAAACUGCUGGCCUUGAGUAGUGUAGAGGUAGGUGGAAUUCCCGGUGUAGCGGUGGAAUGCGUAGAUAUCGGGAGGAACACCAGUGGCGAAGGCGACCUACUGGGCACCAACUGACGCUGAGGCUCGAAAGCAUGGGUAGCAAACAGGAUUAGAUACCCUGGUAGUCCAUGCCGUAAACGAUGAUUAAGGGGUGUUGGAGGAUUGACCCCUC